rnacentral:rRNA from 1 species
GAUGAACGCUGGCGGCGUGCUUAACACAUGCAAGUCGAACGAUUAAAGCCCACUUCGGUGGGUGUAUAGAGUGGCGAACGGGUGAGUAACACGUGGGGAACCUGCCCUUCUCUCUGGGAUAACUCCGGGAAACCGGUGCUAAUACCGGAUACUCCUUGCGGAUCGCAUGGUCUGCUCGGGAAAGCUCCGGCGGAGAAGGAUGGCCCCGCGGCCCAUUAGCUUGUUGGUAGGGUAAUGGCCUACCAAGGCGACGAUGGGUAGCCGCGCUGAGAGGCGGAUCGGCCACACUGGGACUGAGACACGGCCCAGACUCCUACGGGAGGCAG